UACUAGAGUAGCACUCGCAUAUCAAUAAGCGGAGGAAAAGAAACUAACAAGGAUUCCCCUAGUAACGGCGAGUGAAGCGGGAAGAGCUCAAAUUUGAAAUCUUAAAGGGUUUCCCUUUACGAAUUGUAGUUUAAAGAAGUGUUUUCUGUUGAGGUUUUGGUAAAAGUUCUUUGGAAUAGGACAUCAUAGAGGGUGAGAAUCCCGUAUUUGACCUUUACUUUCAACUUUGUGAUACACUUUCAAAGAGUCGGAUUGUUUGGGAAUGCAGUCCAAAAUGGGUGGUAAAUUUCAUCUAAAGCUAAAUAUUGGCGAGAGACCGAUAGCGAACAAGUACCGUGAGGGAAAGAUGAAAAGAACUUUGAAAAGAGAGUUAAACAGUACGUGAAAUUGUCAAAAGGGAAGCGUUUGACACCAGUGUUGUUUUUCUGAAAAUCAAUUAAAGAACUGUUUAUGCUAAGUUGUUUAGACUUUAUCAGCUAUCUGCUUAGUUUUGAGCUUUUCUUUAAUGCACUUUUCAGUUAACAAGUCAACAUCAAUUUCUUUUGCUGUAAAAAAGCUCGAGGAAGGUGGCUUGAGAUUCGUCUUAAGUGUUUAUAGCCUCUUGCCUAUGCAGUCGGAGAGAUUGAGGUCUGCAGCGUAGAUCCUUCGGGGCUAAAUGCAUUUGUGCUAAGUUAUAGCAUUUUAUAGACAACUUGUUGACUAUGAUUUGUCUUGUAGCUUACUCGCUUAUGUUAUUUUACCUACGCUUAGGAUGUUGAACUCUAUCACACACAU
rnacentral:rRNA from 1 species